CCUACGGGAGGCAGCAGUGGGGAAUAUUGCACAAUGGGGGAAACCCUGAUGCAGCGACGCCGCGUGGGCGACGAAGCGCUCCGGCGCGUAAAGCCCUGUCAGCAGGGAAGAACAAAGACAGUACCUGACCAAGAAGCCCCGGCUAACUACGUGCCAGCAGCCGCGGUAAUACGUAGGGGGCAAGCGUUAUCCGGAUUUACUGGGUGUAAAGGGAGCGUAGACGGCUGUGCAAGUCUGAAGUGAAAUGCCGGGGCUCAACCCCGGAACUGCUUUGGAAACUGUACAGCUAGAGUGCAGGAGGGGUG
rnacentral:rRNA from 1 species